rnacentral:lncRNA from 1 species
UUCGACCUCCCCGCAACAAUGAUCACUAGUCGUCCAUGUUUGUCCAUUGUUGAUGCUUGCGUCUUCUCGUUGCUUGUGCUUCUCAACUUAAAACUUGUGCAUUGUUGAUGGUAGAGUCCACAAGCGUCGAUGCUUAUAUUGUACAUACUUCCUAGCUUCUAUUUGAGCCUUAUAUGUUGAUGCUUGUUAACUCUUUUUCCUUAUCCAUCUUUUCAACUUAUCUUUAGAAACUCAUGCGUGUGAUAAUGGACUUAUAGGUUUGCAUUGUGGAUGGCGUUGACGGUGGGCAUAUAUGCUGCGGUGGAGCUCAUUGGUUCAUGCUUGGUGUGAACUUGGAACUCAUGAUCCUUUAAUUUGUGAACCUCUGGUUGCAUAUGUAUGUAUGUUGUUGUGAACCUUCGUUGGAUAUGUAUGCACUGUGUGGACCUGAAACUUACGGUCCUUUCGUUUGUGAUCUUUUGUUGCAUACGUAUGCAUAUGUGGACUCUGCACUCAUGUACGGCUGGAUAUAUGUAUUACUUGAUAUAUGUUUGUUGGUCAUGGUCAUGUACUGCUGGAUACAUAUAUUUGUUGGAUAUAUGUGCUGCUG